rnacentral:rRNA from 1 species
CUUGCCUACGGGACGCAGCAGUAGGGAAUCUUCGGCAAUGGACAAAAGUCUGACCGAGCAACGCCGCGUGAGUGAAGAAGGUUUUCGGAUCGUAAAACUCUGUUGGUAGAGAAGAACGUUGGUAAGAGUGAAAAGCUCAUCAAGUGACGGUAACUACCCAGAAAGGGACGGCUAACUACGUGCCAGCAGCCGCGGUAAUACGUAGGUCCCGAGCGUUGUCCGGAUUUAUUGGGCGUAAAGCGAGCGCAGGUGGUUUAUUAAGUCUGGUGUAAACGGCAGUGGCUCAACCAUUGUAUGCAUUGGAA